CACGCCGUAAACGAUGGAUACUAGGUGUAGGGGGUAUCGACCCCCCCUGUGCCGGAGUUAACACAAUAAGUAUCCCACCUGGGGAGUACGACCGCAAGGUUGAAACUCAAAGGAAUUGACGGGGGCCCGCACAAGCAGUGGAGUAUGUGGUUUAAUUCGACGCAACGCGAAGAACCUUACCAGGAUUUGACAUCCUCUGACGGUCUUAGAGAUAAGGCUUCCCUUCGGGGCAGAGAGACAGGUGG
rnacentral:rRNA from 1 species